rnacentral:rRNA from 1 species
AUGUGUUUCACAAAAGUUUUCGAAAUAUCAUUCGGUCUUCCAAAAAUCCUGAGCAGCCUAUUGCUCUUGAGAUUCUUGCUUGCUUGCAUUAUGGUUAAUCCCAUAAGUCUCGUAAUCUUAUUGACAUCCCUUGUCUUUAUUAUCUUAAGUCUCUUGAUUCAAUAUGUUGAGGAUGCUCGCAUUCCUCAGUCGAAUCCUAGAAUUCAUCCUUCUGGCUUAGAUGUCAUUUUAAACAUGAGCUGGAUCUCGACCAAUCAAAUUGUCGUCGAUUGUACCCCUAAGGCUAUUCAAUUUAUCCAUCCCUAA